rnacentral:misc_RNA from 1 species
GAUGAAGAACGUAGCGAAAUGCGAUAAGUAAUGUGAAUUGCAGAAUUCAGUGAAUCAUCGAAUCUUUGAACGCACCUUGCGCCCUUUGGCCAUUCCGAAGGGCAUGCCUGUUUGAGUAUCAUGAACACCUCAACUCUUCAUGGUUUUCCGUGAUGAGCUUGGACUUUGGGGGUCUUGCUGGCCUAUGAUCAGCUCCUCUAAAAUAAAUCAGCUUGCCAGUGUUUGGUGGGUAUCACAGGUGUGAUAACUAUCUACGCUUGUGGUUUUCCACCAGGUAACCUUCAGCAGUGGAGGUUCGCUGGAGCUCACAGAUGUGUCUCUCCUCAGUGAGGACAGCUCUUUGAAUGUUUGAUCUCAAAUCAGGUAGGACUACCCGCUGAACUUAAGCAUAUCAAUAAGCGGAGGA